UACCGGACAAGAACAUUUCGAUUUCAUCAAGAGAACUCCUCCCUUCAGGCCUAUUCACUUUCUUCACAUAAUCACAGGCAGCUCUUUCCAAACUAUACUCAUCUAACCCUGCUCUCCCACACCUAACCCACAUCCUCUCCCCAAAACUCCUAUGAGCAAAAUAUGCCUCAGCAUCCACCAAAACGACUCUGCCCUUUUCACCCUCCUCCGCAUCACUCUUUUCCCGCAUGAUUACCUGAACCGGACGCCUCUCAUAGUGGCCAACACCCGUGCCCUCCAACUCAUCUAAUGAAACGAGUCCUUGUGUUGUCACGGAGUAUAGCUCGCCAUUGAUUUGGUGACCUUCGGUACCAGGGAGGCACAGCAUGAAUGGAAUCCCAUAGGGGCCAAUAACGAGAGGGUGUGGUUGGUGGGUUCUGCAGGUGCCUACGUAUGUGGCUUCUUUCUGGGAAAUCAGUUGUUGAAAGAGGUAGUGGUUUGGGAAAUCUUUUUUCAGGGUGCCGUAUACGAAGACCAGAGUUUGUUUGGUUUCAUUUGAGACGUUUUUGGCAUCAGCCAUUGCUAGGCUUAGAGAGGAAGAGGCGCAAAGUGAUCUACAACUAAUUUUGCAGGCCGUUGAACAAAGGCCAGGACAAAUUAAAUAGACAAGGGGGUUUCAUGAAAUGGGCUGGGCUCGUUAAGAUGCGUACACGCUGUCGGCAGACAUGUUGGAUCAAGUGGGAUAUGUCUUCUCAGUGCCUGGCCCAUAAAGAUGGUGAGGCCUGUUUGCCUUGCCUUGCCCCCCAAAAAAUCGCCCUUUUUUUAUAAUGAAACUAACAUCAACCUAUCUGUGCAAUUGGGCUUGGUUCGAUUCAGCAACAUUGCCGCUGAUUUGGUGGUCUCAAUUUGUCGAUCCUAGCUCCUUUUUUUUUAUAUAUAUUUUUUUGCAAUUGCAGGGUGGGUAUUUAAUUUAUCACUAUUUUGCUAUGUAGAGAGUAGAUUUGGAGUAAGAAUAAAUAUAAAUUAGAGCACACCUUGAAGUGUAAAACCAGGAACAUCUAUUUCUAUGAAAUUAAGAAAACGAGAAGACGAAUCUUGACCCUUCUUAAAUGAUUGGAGUGCACACACACAACCCAGUAAUUAGCAGAAUCACUCUGCAAAAUUUCAAUCCCAGUUAUAUUAAUUAACAGUGUAAAUUGGUGUUAGCUGAAAAGA